GACGAACGCUGGCGGCGUGCUUAACACAUGCAAGUCGAACGAUGAAGCCGGAGCUUGCUCUGGUGAAUUAGUGGCGAACGGGUGAGUAACACGUGAGUAACCUGCCCUUGACUCUGGGAUAACUGCUAGAAAUGGUAGCUAAUACCGGAUACUCACAUCGAGGCACAUGCCUUGAUGUGGAAAGUUUUUCGGAAAGGGAUGGAGUCGCGGCCUAUCAGCUUGUUGGUGAGGUAACGGCUCACCAAGGCGACGACGGGUAGCCGGCCUGAGAGGGCGACCGGCCACACUGGGACUGAGACACGGCCCAGACUCCUACGGGAGGCAGCAGUGGGGAAUAUUGCACAAUGGGCGAAAGCCUGAUGCAGCGACGCCGCGUGAGGGAUGAAGGUCUUCGGAUUGUAAACCUCUUUCAGUAGGGACGAAGCGAAAGUGACGGUACCUAAAGAAGAAGCACCGGCUAACUACGUGCCAGCCGCCGCGGUAA
rnacentral:rRNA from 1 species